GACGAACGCUGGCGGCGUGCCUAAUACAUGCAAGUAGAACGCUGAAGGAGGAGCUUGCUUCUCUGGAUGAGUUGCGAACGGGUGAGUAACGCGUAGGUAACCUGCCUGGUAGCGGGGGAUAACUAUUGGAAACGAUAGCUAAUACCGCAUAAGAGUAGAUGUCGCAUGACAUUUGCUUAAAAGGUGCAAUUGCAUCACUACCAGAUGGACCUGCGUUGUAUUAGCUAGUUGGUGAGGUAACGGCUCACCAAGGCAACGAUACAUAGCCGACCUGAGAGGGUGAUCGGCCACACUGGGACUGAGACACGGCCCAGACUCCUACGGGAGGCAGCAGUAGGGAAUCUUCGGCAAUGGACGGAAGUCUGACCGAGCAACGCCGCGUGAGUGAAGAAGGUUGUCGGAUCGUAAAGCUCUGUUGUAAGAGAAGAACGAGUGUGAGAGUGGAAAGUUCACACUGUGACGGUAUCUUACCAGAAAGGGACGGCUAACUACGUG
rnacentral:rRNA from 1 species